UAGAGAUGUUCUUAUGCUAAGAACGAGCACGUCGCGUGCUCAACGCAUAAGUCAGAACAUCCUGUUCA
rnacentral:sRNA from 1 species